UACAGAGGGGGCAAGCGUUGUUCGGAAUUACUGGGCGUAAAGGGCGCGUAGGCGGCCUUCUAAGUCGAACGUGAAAUCCCCGGGCUCAACCCGGGAACUGCGUCCGAUACUGGAAGGCUUGAAUCCGGGAGAGGGAUGUGGAAUUCCAGGUGUAGCGGUGAAAUGCGUAGAUAUCUGGAGGAACACCGGUGGCGAAGGCGACAUCCUGGACCGGUAUUGACGCUGAGGCGCGGAAGCCAGGGGAGCAAACGGG
rnacentral:rRNA from 1 species